rnacentral:rRNA from 1 species
CGAACGCUGGCGGCGUGGAUUAGGCAUGCAAGUCGAACGGAGUUUCUAGCUUUUUCGGAAACUUAGUGGCGAAAGGGUGAGUAACACGUGGGUUACCUGCCCUAGGGUUCGGGAUAACCUGUCGAAAGACGGGCUAAUACCGGAUACGUCCUGUAUCUUUCGAGAUACAGGGGAAAGAUGGGGAUCCGUAAGGACCUAUCACCCUUGGAUGGGCCCGCGGCCUAUCAGCUAGUUGGUGAGGUAAUGGCUCACCAAGGCUAAGACGGGUAGCUGGUCUGAGAGGAUGGUCAGCCACACUGGAACUGAGACACUGUCCAGACACCUACGGGUGGCUGCAGUCGAGAAUCUUUCGCAAUGGGGGAAACCCUGACGACGCGACGCCGCGUGGAGGAUGAAGGCCUUCGGGUUGUAAACUCCUGUCAGCAGGGGAGAACAAGUUGUCGGUGAAUAACUGAUAGCUUUGACAGUACCUGCAGAGGAAGCCACGGCUAACUCU